CAGAAAGGGAUCUAGUUGUGUUCCAUAAAGCUUGGCUUUUUUCAGGUUGAUUAAAGAUCCCGAGUUGAUUUCCUUCAGACUCACACUGAAUACAGCGGACACGGAGCCGUGCCAGCGCAGCUCAUCAAACGCGCCACACGAUACCCACAUUAAAGAUGCAGAAGAAAAUUAAAGAAAAUCGAUCAUUUUCGACUGGGGUGGUGGUGGGGACGAGCUGUGACGGUUGCUACGCCAACAGUAACUCAGCCUCUCACGGCAGUCUCAGAAAAGUUGUUUUGUUUAGCAAGGACAGAGGUGGACUCACAACAGAACUGGUCACAGUUAGAGAUCCUCUUCAAACAUCAAAGUGUGUUAAUCACUUGUGUUAAAUGUGCUCAAGCCUGGAUAA